CAUGGCUGUCGUCAGCUCGUGUCGUGAGAUGUUCGGUUAAGUCCGCUAACGAGCGCAACCCUCGCUGUGUGUUAUAUGUGUCACACGGGACUGCCGGUCUUAAGCCGGAGGAAGGUGGGGAUGAUGUCAAGUCAGCAUGGCCUUUAUAUCCUGGGCUACACACACGCUACAAUGGCCAACACAAUAGGUUGCUAAGCCGCGAGGUGGCGCCAAUCCAUAAAGUUGGUCUCAGUUCAGAUUGUAGGCUGCAACCCGCCUGCAUGAAGAUGGAGUUGCUAGUAACCGCAGGUCAGCUAUACUGCGGUGAAUACGUUCCCGGGGCUU
rnacentral:rRNA from 1 species